rnacentral:rRNA from 1 species
GGGCUCGCACAAGCGGUGGAGCAUGUGGUUUAAUUCGACGCAACGCGAAGAACCUUACCCGCUUUUGACAUAGGGGUCGACGAUUCAAGAGAUUGAAUUUUCGGUUCGGCCGGACCCCAUACAGGUGCUGCAUGGCUGUCGUCAGCUCGUGUCGUGAGAUGUUGGGUUAAGUCCCGCAACGAGCGCAACCCUCAUCUGUAAUUGCCAGCACGUAAUGGUGGGAACUUUACAGAAACUGCCGUUGAUAAGACGGAGGAAGGUGGGGAUGACGUCAGGUCCUCAUGGCCUUUAUGGGCGGGGCUACACACGUGCUACAAUGGCGGUGACAAUGAGAUGCUAAGGGGCGACCUGGAGCAGAUCUCUAAAAAACCCGUCUCAGUUCAGAUUGCACUCUGCAACUCGAGUGCAUGAAGUUGGAAUCGCUAGUAAUCGCGGAUCAGCUCGCCG